UACAGAGGUCUCAAGCGUUUGUUCGGAUUCAUUGGGCGUAAAGGGUGCGUAGGUGGCGCUGUAAGUCGGGUGUGAAAUUUCGGAGCUUAACUCCGAAACUGCAUUCGAUACUGCGGUGCUUUGAGGACUGGAGAGGAGACUGGAAUUCAUGGUGUAGCAGUGAAAUGCGUAGAGAUCAUGAGGAAGACCAGUGGCGAAGGCGGGUCUCUGGGCAGUAACUGACGCUGAGGAGCGAAAGCGUGGGGGAGCGAACAGG
rnacentral:rRNA from 1 species